rnacentral:rRNA from 1 species
UGGGGAAUAUUGCGCAAUGGGGGCAACCCUGACGCAGCAACGCCGCGUGAUUGAAGAAGGCCUUCGGGUUGUAAAGAUCUUUAAUCAGGGACGAAAUUUGACGGUACCUGAAGAAUAAGCUCCGGCUAACUACGUGCCAGCAGCCGCGGUAAUACGUAGGGAGCAAGCGUUAUCCGGAUUUACUGGGUGUAAAGGGCGCGCAGGCGGGCCGGCAAGUUGGGAGUGAAAUCCCGGGGCUUAACCCCGGAACUGCUUUCAAAACUGCUGGUCUUGAGUGAUGGAGAGGCAGGCGGAAUUCCGUGUGUAGCGGUGAAAUGCGUAGAUAUACGGAGGAACACCAGUGGCGAAGGCGGCCUGCUGGACAUUAACUGACGCUGAGGCGCGAAAGCGUGGGGAGCAAACAGGAUUAGAUACC